GCAUAACGCGAAGAACCUUACCUAGGCUUGACAUGCAUCUCUAAGCGCGUGAAAGCGCGUGACCCUUCGGGGGAUUUGCACAGGUGCUGCAUGGCCGUCGUCAGCUCGUGUCGUGAGAUGUUGGGUUAAGUCCCGCAACGAGCGCAACCCUUGUGAUCAGUUGCCAGCGGAUAAAGCCGGGAACUCUGAUCAGACUGCCCAGAUCAACUGGGAGGAAGGUGGGGACGACGUCAGGUCAGUAUGGCCCUUACGCCUAGGGCUGCACACGUACUACAAUGCCCAGUACAAUGAGAACCGAGACCGCGAGGUGGAGGAAAUCUGUAAAACUGGGCCCAGUUCGGAUUGGAGGCUGCAACUCGCCUCCAUGAAGUUGGAAUCGCUAGUAAUGGCGCAUCAGCUACGGCGCCGUGAAUACGUUCCCGGGUCUUGUACACACCG
rnacentral:rRNA from 1 species